AUCAUUUAUCACAUUUAUAAGAUUAUAAAUAAGCACAGCCUUCACGUAACCAUCAAUUUAUAACAAUUAGAUCACAUAUAAUCACAUUCUACAUUUUAAACAACACAUAGUCACAUUCUAGACUCAAUCCUAUUAUUAUGUCACAUUAAAAUAGGCUUUAUAAGCUUUCAUCUCUCUUUCGUUUCACUCGAUUCCGCCUUACGGAUCAAAAGAUAUGUUCAAAACCGUUUUCUAACUCCCUUUCGGUAUAAUAAUGCAUCAGACAGAGAGCUGACAAUGCAUUUCUCAUAAGGUUUCCCAUCCCAAUUGAUAUCAAAUCAACUCUUGGGUUAAAAAUGAUUUUUCGGGAAUUUUCCAGAAUUUUUAAACAUUUUUCGGAAUUAAAAUCGAUAAAAGAAUCACUUUUUUGAAUAAAUAAUCAAGUCCCAAAUACUUGAAAUUGCACUUGAAAUCAUUCAUAAACAAUUAUCGAGCCUUGAAAAUAAUUUGGAAAAAUAUUUUAAAGCUCGAAACUAUUUUUCGGAAUUUUUAAAUCAAA
rnacentral:lncRNA from 1 species